rnacentral:rRNA from 1 species
UACGUAGGGCGCAAGCGUUGUCCGGAAUUAUUGGGCGUAAAGAGCUCGUAGGCGGCUUGUCACGUCGGGUGUGAAAGCCCGGGGCUUAACCCCGGGUCUGCAUUCGAUACGGGCUAGCUAGAGUGUGGUAGGGGAGAUCGGAAUUCCUGGUGUAGCGGUGAAAUGCGCAGAUAUCAGGAGGAACACCGGUGGCGAAGGCGGAUCUCUGGGCCGUAACUGACGCUGAGGAGCGAAAGUGUGGGGAGCGAACAGG